GACGACGCUGGCGGCGUGCUUAAUACAUGCAAGUCGAGCGAGGCCUUGGAAUUGGAGCCUUCGGGAUGAAGAGUCCUUGGCCUAGCGGCGGACGGGUGAGUAACGCGUGGGCAACCUACCCCAAAGUCCGGGAUAACAGUGGGAAACCGCUGCUAAUACCGGAUGGCUUUACCUGAGGGCAUCCUUGGGUAAAGAAAGGUUACGCUUUGGGAUGGGCCCGCGUCCCAUUAGCUAGUUGGUGAGGUAACGGCUCACCAAGGCGACGAUGGGUAGCCGGCCUGAGAGGGUGAACGGCCACACUGGGACUGAGACACGGCCCAGACUCCUACGGGAGGCAGCAGUAGGGAAUAUUGCGCAAUGGGCGGAAGCCUGACGCAGCGACGCCGCGUGAGCGAAGAAGGCCUUCGGGUCGUAAAGCUCUGUCCUUGGGGAAGAAGGCGAAAGCUUGACGGUACCCAAGAAGAAAGCCCCGGCUAACUACGUG
rnacentral:rRNA from 1 species